rnacentral:rRNA from 1 species
UACAAUAAGCGGAGGAAAAGAAACCAACAGGGAUUGCCCUAGUAACGGCGAGUGAAGCGGCAACAGCUCAAAUUUGAAAUCUGGCUCUUUCAGAGUCCGAGUUGUAAUUUGCAGAGGGCGCUUUGGCUUUGGCAGCGGUCCAAGUUCCUUGGAACAGGACGUCACAGAGGGUGAGAAUCCCGUACGUGGUCGCUAGCUAUUGCCGUGUAAAGCCCCUUCGACGAGUCGAGUUGUUUGGGAAUGCAGCUCUAAAUGGGAGGUAAAUUUCUUCUAAAGCUAAAUAUUGGCCAGAGACCGAUAGCGCACAAGUAGAGUGAUCGAAAGAUGAAAAGCACUUUGGAAAGAGAGUCAAACAGCACGUGAAAUUGUUGAAAGGGAAGCGCUUGCAGCCAGACUUGCUUGCAGUUGCUCAUCCGGGCUUUUGCCCGGUGCACUCUUCUGUAGGCAGGCCAGCAUCAGUUUGGGCGGUGGGAUAAAGGUCUCUGUCACGUACCUCUCUUCGGGGAGGCCUUAUAGGGGAGACGACAUACCACCAGCCUAGACUGAGGUCCGCGCAUCUGCUAGGAUGCUGGCGUAAUGGCUGUAAGCGGCCCGUCUUGAAACACGGACCAAGGAGUCUAACAUCUAUGCGAGUGUUUGGGUGUCAAGCCCGAGCGCGUAAUGAAAGUGAACGGAGGUGGGAACCCGCAAGGGUGCACCAUCGACCGAUCCUGAAGUUUACGGAAGGAUUUGAGUAAGAGCAUGGCUGUUGGGACCCGAAAGAUGGUGAACUAUGCUUGAAUAGGGUGAAGCCAGAGGAAACUCUGGUGGAGGCUCGCAGCGGUUCUGACGUGCAAAUCGAUCGUCAAAUUUGGGCAUAGGGGCGAAA